GUGCUGUAAUUUCAGUCGAGAGCCGCCCUCCGAAGGCAGAGGCCACAGGUUCGAAUCCUGUCGGGUGCGCCA
rnacentral:tRNA from 1 species